rnacentral:rRNA from 1 species
AUUGAACGCUGGCGGCAGGCCUAACACAUGCAAGUCGAGCGAGCGGCGGACGGGUGAGUAAUGUAUGGGGACUGCCCGAUAGAGGGGGAUAACUACUGGAAACGGUGGCUACUACCGCAUACUAUCGGAUAACCCAUAUGGGAGUAGCUAGUAGGUGGGGUAAAGGCUCACCUAGGCGACGAUCUCUCGCUGGUCGGAGAGGAUGAUCGGCCACACUGGGACGGGGACACGGCCCAGACGCCUACGGAGGCAGCAGUGGGGAAUAUUGCACAAGGGGCGCAAGCCUGAUGCAGCCAUGCCGCGGGUAUGAAGAAGGCUUUAGGGGUGUAAAGUACUUUCAGCGGGGAGGCGUUACCCGCAGAAGAAGCACCGGCUAACUCCGUGCCAGCAGCCGCGGUAAUUC